rnacentral:lncRNA from 1 species
CCCAACGAACCGCAAACCACAAAUCAAGUCACACCCACCUCAGCAUUAGAAGUGCACACCCGCCUAUCGAAUGUCGGAUGAUGAUAAGGCAACAAGUAGGUCUAGAGAAAUGAAAGCUAGUAGGUCUACUGCACCCAUGCAUGGAUGGAAAGAAUCAAUGGACCUGUGGAUAUAGGAUCCGGCCUCCUCAAGGGUCCUCGCGCAUUUACUAAAGAGCCAAGGGGUCUAGUAUGUAAGAAUCAAUGCCAGUCUCAAGUCAAGCACACUGAUGCCGGUUCCUGGCAUCUGGAAUGCCAGAAGGGUCGGAGGAACUUGCACACACAGAACGUACACGUCGUGUCACUGACAGCCCACUCGAGUCUCGUAAACAGAAAACAUAGUGCCCGCUCCUGCAGCGAGCCAAGAUACGGUAACCUCGAUACUUCUUUGUGUGUCACCGCGGUACGCGCACACACACGGAUCCACGGGCUUCCUCUCCGCACUCCUUCUGUCACACCCGUGCGAUAGAUCGUUUCGGACGUCACCUCUCCUCCGUCCCAUUACGAACCUGUAGCCCCAGGCAGCCCUGCGUCCAUUGGCACAGCGCCCCUCGCCACCUGCCACCCUCCCGCUCAGCAAAUAAACGCACGCGCGAGAGCAAAACACCAGCAGGUCCAUAGUAUGGCCAAGGGAGGCUGCCGGUUCCCCGGUCCCAUACAGUCACACAUACAUCUUAUUAAGAAACAUCAGCAGGGUUUAGUUGGCAAGUCUCAGUAGAGAAAUAGACAUCCAUACAUCACCCAAUGCGCGUGGCAAUAUCGCACUGAGUGCUUGCUUGCGCUAGCAAUCCAGCAUCAAGUACGGCCUUUGACACUCCCGCUCGCUCACAUACGGUGAAAUAUCAGUACAGCACGGCAACACUUGCGCGAAUCAGUCCUGACUCCUGCGGUAAACGCCGACUACCGUAGCACGCCCUGCUGUCGUGCUGACAAUGAGAAAUGUGCGGCGGCACAGCCCUGCUGGUUCACUUGAUAGUGGGCCCGAUCAGUAGCUAGUAGCGGCGAUUUGCCUAGCUGUCUAUACUUGCACGCAUACGCUGCAGGCUUUGCCGCCUGCCAUUCAACACACUCCUCAUGCCCUGCUGCUGGCUCGCUUCGAUACUGUACCAUCCACACACGUACGUGUGAGGAGCCCCUCUUGCGCCCGGCCACCAGCACCAAAGCUGCGGCGGCUGCGGCUGCUACUGCUACUGCUGCAUCUUCAAAUGGCGAAGGCAGCAAGCCGCUGGCUGCAGGCUCAUGCAGCUGACGGCGUAACACGGAAGCCAAACGGAACGGAGCGGGCCUUGCCGCUACCAGGCCGCCACCGCUGCCGGUGGCGGGAAGCAGCCGCACGCGCGCUCCAACGCGGCAAACUCCUCCAGCUCCCUUUCCUGCUCGGCCCACGCCGCCGCCGCCAGCUCGAGCGGCCGCCGCUGGGGGUGCCGCCGGUACCGCUGGCAGCUGAUGCCGCCGCCGCCUGCUCCGCCAGGCCCUCCUUCAUCCAGUGUGCGAGCGACCCGAGGUCGAGCUCCUCCUCCUCCUCCUCAACGUCAUCCGCCCAGCGGCGGCCGCUGGGGGUGCCGCCGGUGCCGCUGACAGCUGCCGCCGCCGCCUGCUCCGCCAGGCCCUCCUUCAUCCAGUCUGCGAGCGACCCGAGGUCGAGCUCCUCCUCCGCCUCCUCGUGCGCCUCAACCUCAUCCGCCCAGCUACCGCUCGCGCCACCGCUGCUGCUAAUGCUGGCGCGAGGAGCAAUGCUGCUGCUGCUGCCGUCAGACUCUGACGCUGCCGCGGGCGCGGCCGGUGCGGCUUCCGCCUGCUGCUGCUCGGCCGCCGCGAGCUCCGCCAGUCCCUGCUUCACCCAGGGCGUCUGCUCAAAGAGGUCGCUCAGGUCGAGUCCGUCAGCCUCAUCCUCAUCAUCAUCGCCCCAUCGCGGCGUGGUCGAGCUGCGGUCGACGGUGGAGGUGGAGAUGGGGCUUGCAGCGGCGGCGGGCUUGGUCGGAGCCGCGAGCUUGGGCACCUUGGGCAGGCCGGGCGGCUUCUGCGGGCGCCAGUGGUUGUCGUAGGCAUGGCAAAGCUGGCAGGGGGCGCUCCUGCAGCCAGCAGAUAGGCUGGCAUAGCACCAGCGCAUGCAGGACUUGUGAGGAAAGCAGCAGGCGCUGGGGGCAGGCUCCUGCUGCUCCUGCUGGUGGGCGGCGGCGGAGGGCUCGCUCUCAUCAGAGCCGUGGCCUUGGCUGCGGGGCGUGUGGCGCCAGGCGUCCUGUGCAAACGAGAUCGGGGGAAAAGGAUAGAUGGGGGCGGACAAGCCGUGAGUGCACGGGACGAGGACAAGGGUCGGGGCGCAGAGGGCGGGACAAAGGACCGGGGGUCGGGGACUCGAGCCCCGGCAAAAAAGUCAGGCGCACCGGAAAGGCACGCGCUUUCGGUCAAAGCUGUUGACCGACGCAUUUUACGUGACAAUACAUGCAGCAAUAUGCAGCCAGUGUGGCCGCAGCAGCGCAAGAAGGAAGGCCGAGGAAGCCGAGCGCACUACCGUACUGGCCCGAAAUCUGCAACGCUAUCUAGCCCGCAUCAGAAGCCUAAUGCUUUGCAUGUGGCAUCGGAUACCCAUUGCAGUUGCUCAAGGCUCAAAAUGGCCGUGCCCGAACAUGAAUGGUGCUCACCUGCAUCGGUCGGCUCGGCUCGAAGUCAAGCCCCGGUGCACUUGCGCUUGACCGUGAUGUGGCCAUAGUAGCUCUUGACCGCAACAAGCACUCUUCGCGCGCAGAACUCGAUUCUGCUGCUAGCGCAAUUCUUUCGCUUGACGGAAACUUUUCCUCGCGGUGCCCGGGAGGGAUUCGCGCUAGGAGCUGCUAGUUCGUGACAGUGGUGGUGCUUGCCGCAGCUUUCAUGCGCAUGCGGUGGAAAUCGAGAGAGGUUGCGAACAGCCCUAGAAAUGCUCUUCUUUGCCGUCAGGUGCUCGUAGCUAAGCAGUGGGCGUAAAAGCUGUUUGCGAGAUGUCUUUGCAUCUGUUGAAUGUGCAAUAUGAGCACAGCGCGAAGCUUUUAUCCAGUGGCGGGGACAGUGUCUCGGGCGCCCAUGCAGGCGACACGCGCCCAAUCCCGAGCCUCCCUCCUCGCCUUUACCUUGUCCCUGGACCCGCGCCAUCCGUGUCCCGCUGUUCAAUUCCCGCGUUUCAUACCAGUUCCCCUCCCCUGCGCAGGCCGGUAACCCCUGAUCCCGCCGCUGCCGGGGAUGCAGCCGUGCAGGAUGAGGCCUGAUGAGGUUGACGGCUGGGGAAGUUGGUGUGGGGAAGUUGGUGUAGGUUGGCGGUGAUCCAGCGGGGUGGGUGCCGAUGUGCUAUAGCGGGCGCGAGGCUGUACACGUCAGGAUCUGGCGAGUGUACUGCUUAACACCUACCGCUACGCAGUACUCCGGCUUGCCCCUCCCCCCUCAGGGCGCUCCAUGCCGUGCGCCCCGGAAUGCGGUGUGGGGAUGGGGUGGGGUGGGAUGGACUGGCGGAUGGUGGAAGUAUCAUAUAGGUCUGCUGGGGGCUGCGAGCAGCCAUACUACCGGUCAUGAUAUUGCCUUCGGUAGCUCAGGGCGCCGCGGGCUGGGGGUGGGUAAGUGAGCGGGGAUGGGGGCUCGGACUCAGCGGGGGCACGGACUCAGGGCGUGGAAGCCAGCGAGAAGUGGGCGAGAGUAACGCCGAUGUGCCGGGUGAUGUGCGAGCAGAAUACAGAACGCGGCAUUCGUCAUUACGGGGAAACUAAAACAGAUAGCGCCAACCUUUUGCGCCUCGCGCUUUCGCGCGCAAUUUCCAGGAUCCUCCAACGCGUCGAUUCCUCCGUCUUGCGUCCUUCCGUGCCGGGAGCCUUGAUUAUCGAUACAAUUUGUGAUAUAUUGUAUGUUGCGCUGGAGCUCUAAUGCAAACGCUGCGCUUGUGCGUUUACCCCGCUCUGGCAUAGGGCUUGCGUUUUCAUAAUGUUACGCUUUGCAAUACAUACAUAGAAAGGCGCAUUAUUUGCACGACAAAUUCCGCUGCGCUCGGGUUUCAAGGUUAUAACUCAAGUCAAAACUGGAAUAACCGGGAGGGCCCCCCGCGGCGAGCUCGAUGCGACCGCAAUGGCUAUUGCCCCUCCCCCUUCGGGGGAAGGGGCAAGCCAACCUGGCUUUGUGAUGGCCCCCAAGCGUAGGUGAGGUAGGCGCACGGCGGUGACAAGGCAUGCGGCCAGUGGAACUGCCUUACAGUUACAGCCCGCCCAAGCGCGGUUGUUGCCUUGCCAUGAUUUCCGUGCAGUCUGCUAGCUUCGGCAGGGACGGUGCCCAUCAGUUCCCGAUGUUGACAAACCAUGCAUCCAGCCGCCCACACGUGCUCUCCGUUCGUCACAUACCGUACUCGAACUCCAAUGUCCGCAGAGCGUGUGCGCGAAAUCCACACGCCACACACGCAAGUGACAGCCGCCCGUCCUUGCACAGCAAGCAUCUCCGCGCACGGUCGCACGCUUCUCUAGCCCCAACGAACCGCAAACCACAAAUCAAGUCACACCCACCUCAGCAUUAGAAGUGCACACCCGCCUAUCGAAUGUCGGAUGAUGAUAAGGCAACAAGUAGGUCUAGAGAAAUGAAAGCUAGUAGGUCUACUGCACCCAUGCAUGGAUGGAAAGAAUCAAUGGACCUGUGGAUAUAGGAUCCGGCCUCCUCAAGGGUCCUCGCGCAUUUACUAAAGAGCCAAGGGGUCUAGUAUGUAAGAAUCAAUGCCAGUCUCAAGUCAAGCACACUGAUGCCGGUUCCUGGCAUCUGGAAUGCCAGAAGGGUCGGAGGAACUUGCACACACAGAACGUACACGUCGUGUCACUGACAGCCCACUCGAGUCUCGUAAACAGAAAACAUAGUGCCCGCUCCUGCAGCGAGCCAAGAUACGGUAACCUCGAUACUUCUUUGUGUGUCACCGCGGUACGCGCACACACACGGAUCCACGGGCUUCCUCUCCGCACUCCUUCUGUCACACCCGUGCGAUAGAUCGUUUCGGACGUCACCUCUCCUCCGUCCCAUUACGAACCUGUAGCCCCAGGCAGCCCUGCGUCCAUUGGCACAGCGCCCCUCGCCACCUGCCACCCUCCCGCUCAGCAAAUAAACGCACGCGCGAGAGCAAAACACCAGCAGGUCCAUAGUAUGGCCAAGGGAGGCUGCCGGUUCCCCGGUCCCAUACAGUCACACAUACAUCUUAUUAAGAAACAUCAGCAGGGUUUAGUUGGCAAGUCUCAGUAGAGAAAUAGACAUCCAUACAUCACCCAAUGCGCGUGGCAAUAUCGCACUGAGUGCUUGCUUGCGCUAGCAAUCCAGCAUCAAGUACGGCCUUUGACACUCCCGCUCGCUCACAUACGGUGAAAUAUCAGUACAGCACGGCAACACUUGCGCGAAUCAGUCCUGACUCCUGCGGUAAACGCCGACUACCGUAGCACGCCCUGCUGUCGUGCUGACAAUGAGAAAUGUGCGGCGGCACAGCCCUGCUGGUUCACUUGAUAGUGGGCCCGAUCAGUAGCUAGUAGCGGCGAUUUGCCUAGCUGUCUAUACUUGCACGCAUACGCUGCGGGUGUGCCUCACAUACCAUAAUACCCAGUGCUGCUUCUUUCGCAUAUAACACACGCUCAGCAUGCCCUGCUGGCUCACUUCGAUACUGUGCCAUCCACACACGUACGUGUGACGAGCCCCUCUUGCGAACGGCCGCCGGCACCACAGCUGCGGCGGCUGCGGCUGCUGCUGCUCCUGCUGCUGCUACUGCUACUGCUGCAUCUUCAAAUGGCGAGGGCAGCAAGCCGCUGGCUGCAGGGCUCAUGCAGCUGACGGCGUAACACGGAAGCCAAACGGAACGGAGCGGCCCUUGCCGCUACCAGGCCGCCACCGCUGCCGGUGGCGGGAAGCAGCCGCACGCGCGCUCCAACGCGGCAAACUCCUCCAGCUCCCGCUCCUGCUCAGCCCACGCCGCCGCCGCCAGCUCCAUCGCCAGGCGCAGGCGCGAGGGCAUCACAGCUGACUGCCACUCAUCACCCUGCUGCACCGCCGCGAUCGGCGGAACGACACAGCUGCCCAUGCUGCUGCCGGCGGCGGUGCAGGCCUCCUUGUCAGCGCUAUGCUCCUCCACUGCCGCCUCCACCAACUCCACCUGCUGCGGCGUCUCACUGCCUGCCGCCGCCGCCACCCAGACCAGACUGCAGCUGCUGGCGCUGCGGCUGGUGCGGGCGCUGUCCGGCACGGCGCAGCAGCACGAGCUGAGCGGCGAGUCAGGCGCGUCCAGCCGCUCAGUGACGACGGCCACCUCCUGCGCCGCUUCGGCCGCCGCCGGCACGCACUCGCCCUGGGCCUCUGCUUUCCCCAUCGCCGCCAGCUCCGCCGCCAUCCAGGGCGACAGCGAGGCGAGGUAGGCGCCGAAAUCGCCGGCCUCCUCCGCCUCAACGUCAUCCGCCCAGCGGCGGCCGUUGGGGAUGCCGCCGGUGCCGCUGGCAGCUGCCGCCGCCGCCUGCUCCGCCAGGCCCUCCUUCAGCCAAUCUGCGAGCGACCCGAGGUCGAGCUCCUCCUCCGCCUCCUCAUGCGCCUCAACCUCAUCCGCCCAGCUACCGCUCGCGCCACCGCUGCUGCUAAUGCUGGCGCGAGGAGCAAUGCUGCUGCUGCUGCUGCUGCUGCUGCUGCCGUCAGACUCUGACGCUGCCGCGGGCACGGCCGGUGCGGCUUCCGCCUGCUGCUGCUCGGCCGCCGCGAGCUCCGCCAGUCCCUGCUUCACCCAGGGCGUCUGCUCAAAGAGGUCGCUCAGGUCGAGUCCGUCAGCCUCAUCCUCAUCAUCAUCGCCCCAUCGCGGCGUGGUCGAGCUGCGGUCGACGGUGGAGGUGGAGAUGGGGCUUGCAGCGGCGGCGGGCUUGGUCGGGGCGGCGGGCUUGGUCGGAGCCGCGAGCUUGGGCACCUUGGGCAGGCCGGGCGGCUUCUGCGGGCGCCAGUGGUUGUCGUAGGCAUGGCAAAGCUGGCAAGGGGCGCUCCUGCAGCCAGCAGAUAGGCUGGCAUAGCACCAGCGCAUGCAGGACUUGUGAGGAAAGCAGCAGGCGCUGGGGGCGGGCUCCUGCUGCUCCUGCUGGUGGGCGGCGGCGGAGGGCUCGCUCUCAUCAGAGCCGUGGCCUUGGCUGCGGGGCGUGUGGCGCCAGGCGUCCUGUGCAAACGAGAUCGGGGGAAAAGGAUAGAUGGGGGCGGACAAGCCGUGAGUGCACGGGACGAGGACAAGGGUCGGGGCGCAGAGGGCGGGAGAAAGGGCCGGGGGUCGGGGGCUCGGGCCCCGGCAAAAAAGUCAGGCGCACCGGAAAGGCACGCGCUUUCGGUCAAAGCUGUUGACCGACGCAUUUUACGAGACAAUACAUGCAGCAAUAUGCAGCCAGUGUGGCCGCAGCAGCGCAAGAAGGAACGCCGAGGAAGCUGAGCGCACUACUGGCCCGAAAUCUGCAACGCUAUCUAGCCCGCAUCAGAAGCCUAAUGCUUUGCAUGUGGCAUCGGAUACCCAUUGCAGCUGCUCAAGGCUCAAAAUGGCCGUGCCCGAACAUGAAUGGUGCUCACCUGCAUCGGUCGGCUCGGCUCGAAGUCAAGCCCCGGUGCACUUGCGAUUGACCGUGAUGUGGCCAUAGUAGCUCUCGACCGCACCAAGCACUCUUCGCGCGCAGAACUCGAUUCUGCUGCUAGCGCAAUUCUUUCGCUUGACGGAAACUUUUCCUCGCGGUGCCCGGGAGGGAUUCGCGCUAGGAGCUGCUAGCUCGUGACAGUGGUGGUGCUUGCCGCAGCUUUCAUGCGCAUGCGGUGGAAAUCGAGAGAGGUCGCGAACAGCCCUAGAAAUGCUCUUCUUUGCCGUCAGGUGCUCGUAGCUAAGCAGUGGGCGUAAAAGCUGUUUGUGAGAUGUCUUUGCAUCUGUUGAAUGUGCAAUAUGAGCACAGCGCGAAGCUUUUAUCCAGUGGCGGGGACAGGGUCUCGGGCGCCCAUGCAGGCGACACGCGCCCAAUCCCGAGCCUCCCACUCCUCGCCUGUACCUUGUCCCUGGACCCGCGCCAUCCGUGUCCCGCUGUUCAAUUCCCGCGUUUCAUACCAGCUCCCCUCCCCUGCGUAGGCCGGUAACCCCUGAUCCCGCCGCUGCCGGGGAUGCAGCCGUGCAGGAUGAGGUUGACGGCUGGGGAAGUUGUUGUGGGGAAGUUGGUGUAGGUUGGCGGUGAUCCAGCGGGGUGGGUGCCGAUGUGCUAUAGCGGGCGCGAGGCUGUACACGUCAGGAUCUGGCGAGUGUACUGCUCAAGCUGGCUUUGUGAUGGCCCCCAAGCGUAGGUGAGGUAGGCGCACGGCGGUGACAAGGCAUGCGGCCAGUGGAACUGCCUUACAGUUACAGCCCGCCCAAGCGCGGUUGUUGCCCUGCCAUGAUUUCCGUGCAGUCUGCUAGCUUCGGCAGGGACGGUGCCCAUCAGUUCCCGAUGUUGACAAACCAUGCAUCCAGCCGCCCACACGUGCUCUUCGUUCGUCACAUACCGUACUCGAACUCCAAUGUCCACAGAGCGUGUGCGCGAAAUCCACACGCCACACACGCAAGUGACAGCCGCCCGUCCUUGCACAGCAAGCAUCUCCGCGCACGGUCGCACGCUUCUCUAGCCCCAACGAACCGCAAACCACAAAUCAAGUCACACCCACCUCAGCAUUAGAAGUGCACACCCGCCUAUCGAAUGUCGGAUGAUGAUAAGGCAACAAGUAGGUCUAGAGAAAUGAAAGCUAGUAGGUCUACUGCACCCAUGCAUGGAUGGAAAGAAUCAAUGGACCUGUGGAUAUAGGAUCCGGCCUUCUCAAGGGUCCUCGCGCAUUUACUAAAGAGCCAAGGGGUCUAGUAUGUAAGAAUCAAUGCCAGUCUCAAGUCAAGCACACUGCUG